GAUGAACGCUGGCGGCGUGCCUAAUACAUGCAAGUCGAGCGAAGGGGGGACGGGUGCGUAACACGUGGAUAACCUCCUUUAAGACUCGGAUAACGUCGGGAAACCCGUGCAAAACGUGAUACUCAUAGAUGGAUGUGCGCUGCAUCAGCGAGUUGGUAAGGUAACGGCGUACAAAGGCAACGAUGCAUAGCCGACCUGAGAGGGUGAUCGGCCACACGGGAACUGAGACACGGUCCAGACUCCUACGGGAGGCAGCAGUAGGGAAUCUUCCGCAAUGGGCGAAAGCCUGACGGAGCAACGCCGCGUGAGUGAUGAAGGUCUUCGGAUCGUAAAACUCUGUUGUUAGGGAAGCGGUACCUAAUCAGAAAGCCACGGCUAACUACGUGCCAGCAGCCGCGGUAAUUC
rnacentral:rRNA from 1 species